AGAGGCCUACCAUGGUGGUGACGGGUAACGGGGUGUUAGGGCACGACACCGGAGAGGGAGCCUGAGAAACGGCUACCACAUCCAAGGAUGGCAGCAGGCGCGCAAAUUACCCAAUCCCGACACGGGGAGGUAGUGACAAUAAAUAACAAUACGGGGUUCUUUAGGAUCUCGUAAUUGGAAUGAGUACAAUUUAAAUCUCUUAACGAGGAACAAUUGGAGGGCAAGUCUGGUGCCAGCAGCCGCGGUAAUUCCAGCUCCAAUAGCGUAUAUUAAAGUUGUUGCAGUUAAAAAGCUCGUAGUUAAAUUUCGGGGUUAGUAGGUUGGUCAUGCCUCUGGUAUGUACUGGUCUCACUGAUUCCUCCUUCCUUAUGAACCGUAAUGCCAUUAAUUUGGUGUUGCGGGGAAUUUGGACUGUUACUUUGAAAAAAUUAGAGUGUUUAAAGCAAGCUAACGCUUGAAUACAUUAGCAUGGAAUAAUGAAAUAGGACGUUCGAUCUUAUUUUGUUGGUUUCUAGGAUUGACGUAAUGAUUAAUAGGGAUAGUUGGGGGCAUUAGUAUUCAAUUGUCAGAGGUGAAAUUCUUGGAUUUAUUGAAGACUAACUACUGCGAAAGCAUUUGCCAAGGAUGUUUUCAUUAAUCAAGAACGAAAGUUAGGGGAUCGAAGACGAUCAGAUACCGUCGUAGUCUUAACCAUAAACUAUGCCGACUAGGGAUCGGAUG
rnacentral:rRNA from 1 species